rnacentral:lncRNA from 1 species
ACAUCUUCGAGAUUGUACUUGGUCAAGAGUUUUUCCGCCAAUGCCCUUCAUUUGUAUCCCCCUACUUCCAGAAAAUGUUUGUACUGGAAAAGGGAGGAUCGUGUAUGGUGCCAUUGGUCGAAAUGCCCAAGACAGCACAACUCUCCCAUCUUUCGGCUAUGCAGAUUGAGAAAGGCCUUAUGAGCAGAGUGCCAUUGGUCGAAAUGCCCAAGACAGCACAACUCUCCCAUCUUUCGGCCAUGCAGAUUGAGAAACGCCUUAAGAGGGGAGAACCAACUUAUCUGGCCACCAUCGAAAGUUUGAAUGAAAAUAAUGGUGCCCCAGAACCCAUACCGCCUUGCAUUAAAAGGGUACUGGAC